AGAGUUUGAUCCUGGCUCAGAACGAACGCUGGCGGCGCGUCUUAAGCAUGCAAGUCGAACGGCAAGGAAGUGCUUGCACUUCCCUAGAGUGGCGGACUGGUGAGUAACACGUGGGUGACAUACCUUUUAGUUGGGGAUAGCUAUUAGAAAUAGUAGAUAAUACCGAAUGUGACCAUUACAGUUAGAGUGUAAUGAGGAAAGGAGCUAAGGCUCCGCUAGAAGAUUGGCCCGCGGCCCAUUAGCUAGUUGGUGAGGUAACGGCCCACCAAGGCAAUGAUGGGUAUCCGGCCUGAGAGGGUGAUCGGACACAUUGGGACUGAGAUACGGCCCAGACUCCUACGGGAGGCAGCAGCUAAGAAUAUUCCACAAUGGACGAAAGUCUGAUGGAGCGACGCCGCGUGGAUGAUGAAGGCCGAAAGGUUGUAAAAUCCUUUUAAACUGGAAGAAUAAUCAUGGUAGGGAAUGAUCGUGAGGUGACCGUACAGUUUGAAUAAGCAACGGCUAAUUACGUGCCAGCAGCCGCGGUAACACGUAAGUUGCGAGCGUUGUUCGGAAUUAUUGGGCGUAAAGGGCAUGUAGGCGGUUUUGAAAGCUUGAUGUGAAAUCCCACAGCUUAACUGUGGAACUGCAUUGAGAACUACAAGACUAGAGUUACUGAAGGGAAACUAGAAUUCCAAGUGUAGGGGUGAAAUCUGUAGAUAUUUGGAAGAAUACCAAUGGCGAAGGCAAGUUUCUGGCAGAUAACUGACGCUGAGGUGCGAAGGUGCGGGGAGCAAACAGGAUUAGAUACCCUGGUAGUCCGCACAGUAAACGAUGUACACUAGGUGUUUGACCAUGAGGUUGGGUGCCAAAGCUAACGUGAUAAGUGUACCGCCUGGGAAGUAUGCCCGCAAGGGUGAAACUCAAAGGAAUUGA
rnacentral:rRNA from 1 species